ensembl:lncRNA
AAUCUCCAAGCUGCACGCAUUGAUCCAUGUGAUUGAGGGGAGAGAGGAGACUUCCACGAACGAUAUAUCAUCGAAGAGAUAUGUGAAAAACACCUUGAGGAUUGAUUCUAAACAACGUUUACCAUGUUUCAGUCGAUAUUAUGGAGUUAAUUUGGAAAAAAGUUCGGCGUUUUGAUGACUGAAUUUUGGGGGUUUUUUGGUAGCCAAACGUGACGCACCAAACGGAGCGAUUUCUCCUAAACAAAUAAUCUUUCAGGAAAAACUGAGCAUUUGCUAUCUAACUGAGAGUCUCCUCAUUGAAAACAUCCGAAGUUCUUCAAAAGCGUUUGUGACAGAACUACCCACCACCAAAGGACCAAUUAGCGUAGAGAAAGGGACUCAAGGACAUGGGAGGAGAUCCUGGACGGUAAAGGACCCUGGAGGCAGGCUGGAGAAUAUUGCCGUCCAAAGGAGGAGAUAAAGGCAGCGAAGGAGGAGCGGCGACGAUAUGAGUAGGCAAGUCAUCGACGGAAGCCCGAGAAGCCACUCCAAAAAUGUUUUUGGGAGAGGGACACAAGGAGGUUGGCGGUGCAUGGUACUGGUCAGGCACCGUGUUAUGCGGUAAAACGCACAGUGUCUCCAGUGCGCGUGCACAGCCCGGUGCGCUCGGAGCCAGCUCUCCGCAAGUGCCACGCUAGAGUGGGCAUCCAGCCAGGGCAGAUUGUGCCAGCUCAGCGCUCUUGGUCUCCGGUGCCCCGUUUCAGCCCAGGGUAUCCUGCGCCGGCUCUGCGCACUGUGUCUCCGGUGCGCUGUGACAGUUCAGUGCGUCCUGUGCCUGCGCUCCGCACGUGCCGGGCUAAAGUGGGCAUUCAGCCUGGAAGAGUGAUGCCAAGAAUAAGCACCAGAUCUCCAGUGCUCCCCCACAGCCCGGUUCAUCCUGUGCCUGCUCCACGGGUCAGUCUGGGGCCUCCGGCGACGGUCCCCAGUCCGGGGCAUGCAUUUGAGCCAAUCAGUUGUGAUGUGACAAGGUAGGGUACACAGAAGGAAAGAAAUUAGCCCUAUUUGGUAAAAGACCAAGUCCAUAUUAUGGCAAGAACAGAUCAAAUAAGCAAAGAGAAACGACAGUCCACCCAGCACCUCUCCUCUGGACCAUAACUCUCCAAGUCAAGCAGGUAUUGGAAUCCCCUGCCCCACCAGGUAUUCGUAGUGUCUGCUAGCAGUGUUGAAGGAUGUCUUCCACUCAUCACCUUCCCGUAUCCACACCAGAUGGUAGGCGUUCCGCAGGUCCAACUUAGAGAAAAUGGUGACCCCCUGGAGCAGCUCGAAAGCCGAGGCGAUGAGUGGUGUCAUUGAGGCCCCGGUAGCUGAUGCACGGGAGCCAGCAGAGGAGGCAGAAGGACGGAUACACCUUGCAGCCAGGGAGUCUUUGAUGUACGUCUCCAAUGCCUUGGUCUCCGACCCGACAAUGAAUACAGCCGUCCCCGGGGUGGUGUAUAGCCCGGGAGAAGGUUGAUCCCACAUUCAUAGGGUCGAUGCGGAGGAAGCGAAGUGGCACGGGCCUUGCUGAAAACAUCCCGGAGGUCCUGGUACUCCGCGGGAACGGCAGAGAGGUUCCGAGCUUCUUCCGAGCCCACAGGGAGACGUCCCUUCCGAGCCCACAGGAACACGCCAACUUCAGGCAAUGGGUGUGGCAGAAUAGGCUCCAGCCCAUUAUAGCACCAGCAGUCCAGUUGAUAAAGGGAUUGGUUGCUGGAGCCAAGGAAACCCCAAUACCACGGGAACCUGAGGAUAUUAAAUGAGCUUGAAAUGCAUAGACUCUAAAAAUGUGAUUAUCAUGUAGUAGCCUAACCAAUCGAUGUCACAUUGAAAUGGGUAAAUGGAAUAUGAAUGACAGUCAUGCAAUAUGCUGUAAUAGAAAUAAGGCCAUGUUCAAGAAACUGGUACGUACAAUAACUACAAACGGUGUCUCUUUAUAAAAGGAAUUAUUGCUAACAACUUGAUGUGGCUUCACAUUACAAACAACAUGUGAGAGAUCGACGCUUUCCCCGUAAACCCCAAUUUCUGACAGGCCCUCAUUAGCAUAUGGCCAAUCAGGAUUAAAUAUGCAAAUAACACCAUGUCUUCCCUUUUCAGAGAACAAAGGGUAGACUGAUUUUGUCUCGACAGACCGCAGAGGAUUAUUCCUGCCCUUAUGUCGGAAGGUCUGUUCCUGACUAGUUCUUCUGGAUCAUUUCAACAUAGUCAUGGACAUAAAGUAUUUUCUGUAAACUUUAAUCAAAAUGCAUUUCUCAUUUCUUUUAACUCAAAUCUACCACACAGGUAAGUUAGAACUGUGACACCUUCACAACUGUUGUUUUCUCUUUUUUUCCCACAUAACAUUUACUUAGAGCUCAGUCUUUUGUUCUUGUUUAAAGUUUCUUGUUUCAAAGUUUAUAGGAUACAACAGGUGUAAAACAGUACAGUGAAAUUCUUAACCUGAGAGCAAUUUCUCAACAAUGCAGUGAAUAAAAAUUAGGGAUGCACGAUAUAUCGGUGACAAUAUUAGCUAAAAAUGCCAACAUCGGCAUCGGCCCGAUGUUUAGUUUAACCCCGAUGUGCAAAACCGAUGUCAAAGCUGACGUGCAUACCUAUAUAACGUAGGUACAUGAAAAUGACGCCACGUAAAAUGUUGCACUACAACUGCAACACAGCAUUCCUAACCUAGCCCACAAUGUCUGCUGUGUGGAUCAAUCAGUCAACAAGUCAAGCAGUCAUUUGAAAGAGUAAGGCAAGUUCAGCGAGACAAAUCAAAGGCGAAAUCCAUUAAUGCCAAGAUAAUUGAAUUCAUUGCCCUUGACAAUCAACCGUUCUCUGUCAUGGGUGAUUGAGCACCGGUACACACUACCAAGUGGGCUAUUUUUCAGAUGUUGCCCUACCGGAGUUACAUGGUGAUAGCGUCACUGCUAUUAGCUUCACGACUGACAUUUGGACCAGGGAUAACAGCCCCAUGAGCAUGCUGAGUCUGACAGCACAGUGGGUUGUCGAGGAUUUCUUGCUGAGGAAAGUUGUAUUGCAUGCUCAUGAAUGUGCUGGUUGUCAUACCGCUGCUACCAUUUCAAUGGCAUUUGAGAACAUGUUUGAAACUUGGAAACAUGAACACACUAGCUAGCUCCAUUCGAACAACUGACUUGAGAAAUAAGCUCAUCAACUGCGCCUGCAGCAGACGUGAUAGUCUCUGUCAUGGCAUUGAAACGCCUGCUCAACAACUGGUGACACAGGCUGUGAACAAGCUCGAUGCUGUGUACAAGGGCCGCUACUUCGAUGCAGACAAGAAACAGGGUUUACGUGAAAUGUUACAUACACAGCUGGACAAGAUGGAAACAAUGACAGUGCGCAUCGAGGAAGAGAGGACACGGACAGACAGAGCUGAAACUUCACUGCUUGACAGUGGUUGAGAAUUAACCAACUGAACAAAUGAACAACGAAACAGCACAGCAACCCCAAUCGGAGGUCCUGAGCCCGCUGGAGCAGGUUUUUCAUCAAGUCUCCCAGUCCCUGCCACUGAAAAACAUCCCCACACCAUGAUGCUGCCACCACCAUGGAUCACCAUAGGGAUGGUGCCAGGUGUCCUUCAGACCUGACGCUUGGUAUUUAGGCCAAAGAGUUCAAUAUUGGAGAAUCAUGUUUCUCAUGUUCUGAGAGUCCUUUAGGUGCCUGUUGGCUUAUUUCAAGCGGGCUGUCAUGUGCCUUUUACUGAGGAGUGGCUUCCGUCUGGCCACUCUACCAUAAAGGCCUGAUUGGUGGAGUGCUGUAGAGAUGGUUGUCCUUCUGGAAGUGACAAUCGGGUUCUUGGUCACCUCCCUGACCAAGGUCCUUCUCCCCCGAUUGCUCAGUUUGGCCAGGCGGCCAGCUCUAGGAAGAGUCUUGGUGGUUCCAAACUUGGAAUCAUAGAGGCCACUGUGUAAUUGGGGACCUUCAAUGCAGCAGAAUGUUUUUGGGGCUCGACACAAUCCUUUCUCGGAGCUCUACAGACAAUCCCUUCAUCGUCAUGGCUUGGUUUUUGAUCUAACAUGCACUGUCAACUGUGGGACCUUAUAUAAACAGAUGCCUACACAUCAGAAGAUGGUCAAGAGAGUUAUUCUCAUAGAGGGUGACAUAAGGAAGGUGGCCGCGAAGCCUGAUGAAGUUGAGGAUUUGAUUAGCCAAAUUAAAGGAGCACUAGGACUUGAUUGCAACUUCACUUUAACUUGUAACUUGAGCAACAUGGCAGACAUUGAAAAGGCCAUUAAAAGUCAUCCCUGUGCUUGACCUGAUACCCCUCUAUGUGUCAAAUGAAAUACUUAAUGACACACUAUCUGCCGCGAAGCAAAUACAGAUUCUCUCCAACACUUAAUCUCAGGAAAGGUCAAAGCAGUGACCAGAAGUUUGAGAUUUUGAUGUUGAAUAUAGACUAUGACUAGGGGAUCAACUACCUCUUAAGGAUGGAACCUGCCUGUUAUGAAAAAGAGCUGAAACAUGACAUCCUUGUAAACUGACAGAAAGCAUUUACAGCCUUAAGGCGUUCCCAUGAGACACAGAUUUUGAUCAUGUUACUUCAGCACUGGUAAAAAAAAACAUCCUUGUCUUCAACAAAGAGGUUCACCCACGAGUUGGUGUGGAUGUAAGAUCAGCCUCAAGUACAAAAUGGGGAACUUCAGGACAAAGCUACGCAAAGCAGGAUACCAAGAUAUUUCUGUUUCUGUUCUGUUUCUGCGUGAAAGAAACUCAUCUGAGGGAGAACCACCAAACAAGAACAUUAAGAAGGCGAAGAAAUGUGAGCUCAACUUCUUACCCAAUUUUUCUGAGGGGCUUGAUCAAUCCAGCCUUGAAGAUCCACCAAACGUCCUGGUAGAGGAAAUGCAGAAGAGCACACCGAAUGGAUGAACUUUGAAGCAGAAGAUGGAUCUGACAUUUGCUCUGAGACACAAAGAAGUGGUGGAGUCAGAACCUGCCAUAUGCAAGUUGCCUGCCAUAGGAUAGUUGAACGUUGGCCUGCUCUCUUCAAGGAAAAUCUAGUUUCAGUUUUACCCUUUGUUUGACAUAAUGGAUAAUCUCAGGCACCAUCUCAAUUGCAUUAAAUGUGGCUCCACUAAGAACAAAAUGUAUUGAUUGCUGAAAAGAUGCAUGCAUUCCAAAGGUCAACUUGGAGUUCCACCCGAUUGCUUGCAAGAAUUUGUAGCAGGAUUUCUAUGAUGGCCUAGAUCGCCACAGUCCUCGUCUCAUCGAGACUUUCAGAUGCAAGUGUGGACAUGCUGGACAGCUGCUGUCAAAGUUUCUACAAUAAACCAAGGUGACGAUGAGACGGACAUGUCACAAGAGGAAAACAAUGCAAUGUAAAACACAGCGUGCCAAUAAGAAGACCAUUGUGCAAUGCCAAACAAAAGAAGCUUUCCCUGUUGGGCAUCUCUGCACUUGGAGCCAAUCAGAGACCUUCCCUCUUGGACAUUCUCUCCAACUGCUCAGGGAACACACUCUCAGAUUGCCGAAUAUUCAGCUUUUCCAAGACAGCCCAGCAACCAAACACCAAACAUCGCUCAGAUACACAUGCUAUCCUAUUACACCUUUCUCCUCUACAUACUGUAGCUUGCGACCAAAAUGGCCCCCUGUUCC